GCUAUGUUGGUUUAAUUCGACGACUACGCGAAGAACCUUUACCUGGGCUUGACAUGUAAGUGUAAGAACCCGAAAGGGGAUGACUUGGGGGAAACUCCUUGAGCUUACACAGGUGCUGCAUGGCUGUCGUCAGCUCGUGCCGUGAGGUGUUGGGUUAAGUCCCGCAACGAGCGCAACCCUCGCCUUUAGUUGCCAGCAUUCAGUUGGGCACUCUAGAGGGACUGCCGGUGUCAAACCGGAGGAAGGUGGGAUGACGUCAAGUCCUCAUGGCCUUUAUGUCUAGGGCUACACACGUACUACAAUGGCCGGUACAAAGGGCAGCCACUCAGCGAUGAGGCGCUAAUCCCAUAAAGCCGGUCUCAGUCCGGAUCGCAGUCUGCAACUCGACUGCGUGAAGUUGGAAUCGCUAGUAAUCGUAGAUCAGCAUGCUACGGUGAAUACGUUCCCGGGCCUU
rnacentral:rRNA from 1 species